UCUUCAACGGAGAGUUUGAUCCUGGCUCAGGACGAACGCUGGCGGCGUGCUUAACACAUGCAAGUCGAGCGGUAAGGCCCUUCGGGGUACACGAGCGGCGAACGGG
rnacentral:rRNA from 1 species